UACGCCCGAUCUCGUCCGAUCUCGGAAGCCAAGCAGGGUCGGGCCUGGUUAGUACUUGGAUGGGAGACCGCCUUGGAAUACCAGGUGCUGUAGGCUU
rnacentral:rRNA from 1 species